rnacentral:lncRNA from 1 species
CCAGGAUGCUAAAUCAGAAUGCUUACUCCCAAACAUAAUGCUUUCUGCCAAGAUUAGACAUAUGAUUUCAACUUACAGGGUCAGGUUAGUAAGCUAUCAUCAAUAAAGGACUACAACACCCUGACUUCAAGGACCAGAUGGCAAAAUAGAGAAAAGUUUGGAAGAUCAUGAUUACUCACCACCAAAAAUUAUGAGAUAUUUUUGGUCAAUGGUGAAAGCAGAAGGGAAAACAUCUGUUCCAGCGAGUCCUGCAUCUGCUAUGAGAGCGGUUGGGUCUGUCAGCCUCAGACAGUGUACAAACCUGACCUCGGGAAGUACCUUCUGUCCCAUGUCCUCACAGAGAUGCUGUCAAAGGCACGAGUGUGCUGUGGAAUUCACUACUACAGCUUCUAAGAAAGAGAUCACCCAUCCACAGACUCACUUUUUAUACUUGGAAACACUUGCCAACAUCUGGUCAACUCAUAUCUAAUUCAACUUACUCAAAGGCUGGUCUGCAGUGAAUUGAGAAAUUUUAUAUUAAAAAGAGGAGUCACAUCACAGAUCAACGUCUGUUUCUAUAAUUCUGUGUGGAGGAGUUAGAAAAAUAAAGUUCAGUACUAGAAAGCA